UACGUAGGGGGCAAGCGUUGUCCGGAAUCAUUGGGCGUAAAGCGCGUGUAGGCGGUUCGAUAAGUCUGCUGUGAAAGUCCAGGGCUCAACCCUGGAAUGCCGAUGGAUACUGCGGAGCUAGAGUCCGGAAGAGGCGAGUGGAAUUCCUGGUGUAGCGGUGAAAUGCGCAGAUAUCAGGAGGAACACCAAUGGCGAAGGCAGCUCGCUGGGACGGUACUGACGCUGAGACGCGAAAGCGUGGGGAGCAAACAGG
rnacentral:rRNA from 1 species